UCUCAUAUCGGAAAAUAAGGUUAAAUGUCGCAUUUGUUCGACAGAACUUUCCUACUUAAAUAAAUCCACCUCCUCAAUGCUGAGGCAUUAUAGGGCCAGGCAUGAGAGUGAAGUCCCAGAUACAACCAGGAUAAACUCAGACACCGCAUCUUCUAUGAAUAGGGGAGCAUCUUGUCAUCAACAAGCCACCCAUGGGACAAAAGGAGGAGAAGGAGGAGAACAGAUCGCCGUCUUGUCCGUCCAUCCAUUUGAUCCAUCUAAAUACACACCUGGUUUAUUCUCAGCAUGUCUCUACCAGCAUUAUCACUUUCCUCCUACUGACCUUUGCUGUCAGUUCAUGACAUAUCACAGCAAACUACUGGAAGUUUUACUGUUAAAAAAAAAAAAAUCUGUUUCUCUAAUGAUUGUUCUGUUCUGCAAUAGAUGAUUGUAAAAAGAAAUAGAUGAUUUCCUCAUGUGUUUUAGUGUUUAUUGUUCAAAAGUUCUUGUUUUUUUUUAGCCAUAGAUAAUGAUCCACAUGUGUGUGUUUCUGUGUCUUUCUGUGGGUGUCUGGACAAAUUUUUGUUCAGUGCUGCUGUUGUGUUGACAUUUUGGCCAGUCCUUGCAAUACCAAAGGGCUGUUUGAGGGUUAGCGUUCGGCUUUAGGGUUAGGGUUAGAAUUAGGUUCAUCUUAGAUUGGGGUUUGGCAGAAUGAGUGUCCUCACAACUAUAGAAAAACAAAUGUGUGUGUUUAAAUAGAUAUCAACAUGCAAAUACAUUAUUGCAAUAAAGCACAUAAACAUACA